rnacentral:piRNA from 1 species
UAGGAAACGUGUUUUCCGAUGGU